UACGGAGGGUGCGAGCGUUGUCCGGAAUCACUGGGCGUAAAGGCGCGUAGGCGGCCUGAUAAGUAGGGGGUGAAAUCCUGCGGCUUAACCGCAGGGCUGCCUUCUAAACUGUCAGGCUGGAGCACAGUAGAGGCAGGUGGAAUUCCCGGUGUAGCGGUGAAAUGCGCAGAUAUCGGGAGGAACACCAGUAGCGAAGGCGGCUCGCUGGGCCACACCUGACGCUGAGACGCGAAAGCUAGGGGAGCGAACAGG
rnacentral:rRNA from 1 species